rnacentral:rRNA from 1 species
UACGGAGGGUGCAAGCGUUAUCCGGAUUCACUGGGUUUAAAGGGUGCAUAUGGCGGGCAAGGUAAGUCAGUGGUGAAAUCCUAGAGCUUAACUCAUAGAACUGCCAUUGAUACUAUCUGUCUUGAAUAUUGUGGAGGUAAGCGGAAUAUGUCAUGUAGCGGUGAAAUGCUUAGAUAUGACAUAGAACACCUAUUGCGAAGGCAGCUUACUACGCAUAUAUUGACGCUGAGGCACGAAAGCGUGGGGAUCAAACAGG